AGCUUUCAUCUUCUUUGUAAUAGAUGCCAAACAUCUCUCUCCCUCCCACAUUGCGGGCGAGGCCUAGCAGGGCACAGCAGUGACUGCUUGGCUGGCUGUGUUCCCAGGUUAAUUAUGGAACAGCACAUGGUAAUCCAAGACCAAGCAACAUGAGAUUGGAAAGAAAGAGGUGGGUGUGUAGGGAGAUUCCCAGAACCCAGGAUGAUCAGCUAUAUCACCUGAUGCACAGCACAAUACGUAACAUAAGGAGUCCAGCUCCUUAAACAACUACAGCCUUUCCCAUUCUUCCAUGUGGAAAACUUCAAGAGCCCACCAAGUGGAAGCGGGCCACAGAAAACAUGGAAACAAGGUUGGUUCCUUUUUCAUUAGCUGAAUCAGUCAAAGAUGGAGAUCUUGAGGUUGUCAAAGAGUUUGGACAGCAUUGGCAAAGGGGCAGUAUCACCACAAGAGGAACAAAAGAGGAACAAGAGCCUCUCCAGGAGUGACAGGGCAUCACAGGAGUUCUCCAAAGCUAUUCCAUUUGUCAGAAACAUACUCUCCCAUAUACUUGAAUCAAUAAGUUGUGAUAAAGAUUUAAAUAAAUUAAUCCACGCAUCCCUUUUUUGACCCCUUCUUUCUUGUCUUGAGUGGUGGGAAUGGGAGGAAAAAGUCAAGACAAAUUCCAGUAUUGCGUUUUACUUUAUCC